rnacentral:lncRNA from 13 species
CGUGGGGUGGGAGGAGGGACGGGGCACCUCCGGAGCGGGGCAGGGACCCGGGCCCCUCGCGCAACCGCAAAGCCGGGAAAGCGAUCCCCGAAGGCCCAGAGUCUCUCCCGGCUAAUCAGGCCACGUUUUUGGCUUUGGUUUUGGUGACAGAUCACUGUGUGACUUUUGGCUUCAGUGUCUGAAGAGGUUCAAACAGUGGAGAGACGUAACCCUCACGGAGCUGCCCUUCACCACGGAUCAAUUUACAUAAACGAAUUUUCUCACGGUCCAAGCCCAUGAAAAUAAAAGCAGGUUUGGAAUUGAUUCUGGACUGUCUCACAUAAUAAAUAAUAUUUAUCUAGUGACACCUGCACCAUUGGGAAGAGACAGUCCCAUCCAUCUCAUUGAGAUACGCUUAAAAGGAUUGCCCAAGGCAAGCUGGAGACAGACUGCACUUAGAAAAAAAGCUUUCUUGCAAAGGAGUCAGACUUCAGAAGGACUGGCUCACCAAAAACGAAAAGCCACAAGUACUUAAAAUUUAAAAACCCAAGAGAAUCAAGGUUGGCCAUGUGGGUGAAGACACACGAAGGCCAUGACACUGGACCAGUUCCUUUUUGGACAGAUGGAGAAACUGAGGCUUAGGGGAGGAGAGUGACCUGACAAGGGAGGCAGUGGAAA